rnacentral:rRNA from 1 species
UACAGAGGUCUCGAGCGUUGUUCGGAUUCAUUGGGCGUAAAGGGUGCGUAGGCGGCGUGGCAAGUCUGAUGUGAAAUCCCGGGGCUCAACCCCGGAACCGCAUUGGAUACUCCCAUGCUAGAGUACUGGAGAGGAGAUUGGAAUUUACGGUGUAGCAGUGAAAUGCGUAGAUAUCGUAAGGAAGACCAGUGGCGAAGGCGAAUCUCUGGACAGUUACUGACGCUGAGGCACGAAGGCCAGGGGAGCAAACGGG